UACAGAGGAUGCAAGCGUUAUCCGGAAUGAUUGGGCGUAAAGCGUCUGUAGGUGGCUUUUUAAGUCCGCCGUCAAAAUCCCAGGGCUCAACUCUGGACAGGCGGUGGAAACUACCAAGCUGGAGUACGGUAGGGGCAGAGGGAAUUUCCGGUGGAGCGGUGAAAUGCGUAGAGAGUCGGAAAAGAACACCAACGGCGAAAGCGGCUCACUGGACCACAACUGACGCUGAG
rnacentral:rRNA from 1 species